UGAGGAAUUUUCCGCAAUGGGCGAAAGCCUGACGGAGCGACGCCGUGUGUGGGAUGAAGUCUUUCGGGAUGUAAACCACUGUCAGAGGGGAAGAUAUUGACGGUACCCUCAGAGGAAGCCCCGGCUAACUACGUGCCAGCAGCCGCGGUAAUACGUAGGGGGCGAGCGUUAUCCGGAAUUACUGGGCGUAAAGCGUAUGUAGGUGGUUUGGUAAGUCGGAUGUUAAAUCUACGGGCUCAACCUGUAGCCGCAUUCGAUACUGCCUGACUCGAGAGUGGUAGAGGAAAGCGGAACAACCGGUGUAGCGGUGAAAUGCGUAGAUAUCGGUUGGAACACCAGUGGCGAGGGCGGCUUUCUGGGCCAUUUCUGACACUGAGAUACGAAAGCUAGGGGAGCAAACGGG
rnacentral:rRNA from 1 species